UACAUGCAAGUCGAGCGGACAGAUGGGAGCUUGCUCCCUGAUGUUAGCGGCGGACGGGUGAGUAACACGUGGGUAACCUGCCUGUAAGACUGGGAUAACUCCGGGAAACCGGGGCUAAUACCGGAUGCUUGUUUGAACCGCAUGGUUCAAACAUAAAAGGUGGCUUCGGCUACCACUUACAGAUGGACCCGCGGCGCAUUAGCUAGUUGGUGAGGUAAUGGCUCACCAAGGCGACGAUGCGUAGCCGACCUGAGAGGGUGAUCGGCCACACUGGGACUGAGACACGGCCCAGACUCCUACGGGAGGCAGCAGUAGGGAAUCUUCCGCAAUGGACGAAAGUCUGACGGAGCAACGCCGCGUGAGUGAUGAAGGUUUUCGGAUCGUAAAGCUCUGUUGUUAGGGAAGAACAAGUACCGUUCGAAUAGGGCGGUACCUUGACGGUACCUAACCAGAAAGCCACGGCUAACUACGUGCCAGCAGCCGCGGUAAUACGUAGGUGGCAAGCGUUGUCCGGAAUUAUUGGGCGUAAAGGGCUCGCAGGCGGUUUCUUAAGUCUGAUGUGAAAGCCCCCGGCUCAACCGGGGAGGGUCAUUGGAAACUGGGGAACUUGAGUGCAGAAGAGGAGAGUGGAAUUCCACGUGUAGCGGUGAAAUGCGUAGAGAUGUGGAGGAACACCAGUGGCGAAGGCGACUCUCUGGUCUGUAACUGACGCUGAGGAGCGAAAGCGUGGGGAGCGAACAGGAUUAGAUACCCUGGUAGUCCACGCCGUAAACGAUGAGUGCUAAGUGUUAGGGGGGUUUCCGCCCCCUUAGUGCUGCAGCUAACGCAUUAAGCACYCCG
rnacentral:rRNA from 1 species